rnacentral:rRNA from 1 species
UACGGAGGGUGCAAGCGUUAUCCGGAUUCACUGGGUUUAAAGGGUGCGUAGGUGGGCUAGUAAGUCAGUGGUGAAAUCUCCGGGCUUAACCCGGAAACUGCCAUUGAUACUAUUAGUCUUGAAUACCAUGGAGGUGAGCGGAAUAUGUCAUGUAGCGGUGAAAUGCUUAGAUAUGACAUAGAACACCAAUUGCGAAGGCAGCUCGCUACGCGGUUAUUGACACUGAGGCACGGAAGCGUGGGGAUCAAACAGG